UACAGAGGGGGCUAGCGUUGUUCGGAAUUACUGGGCGUAAAGCGCACGUAGGCGGCUUUCUAAGUCGGGGGUGAAAUCCUGGAGCUCAACUCCAGAACUGCCUUCGAUACUGGAAAGCUCGAGUCCGGGAGAGGUGAGUGGAACUGCGAGUGUAGAGGUGAAAUUCGUAGAUAUUCGCAAGAACACCAGUGGCGAAGGCGGCUCACUGGCCCGGUACUGACGCUGAGGUGCGAAAGCGUGGGGAGCAAACAGG
rnacentral:rRNA from 1 species